UACGUAGGGGGCAAGCGUUGUCCGGAAUCAUUGGGCGUAAAGAGCGUGUAGGCGGCUCGGUAAGUCCGCUGUGAAAGUCCAGGGCUCAACCCUGGAAUGCCGGUGGAAACUGUCGAGCUAGAGUCCGGAAGAGGCGAGUGGAAUUCCUGGUGUAGCGGUGAAAUGCGCAGAUAUCAGGAGGAACACCGAUGGCGAAGGCAGAUCUCUGGGCCGUAACUGACGCUGAGGAGCGAAAGCGUGGGGAGCGAACAGG
rnacentral:rRNA from 1 species